UAUUUGCCCCAAAUAUCGUAUACACACACACACACACACAUCGUUAUAAAUAUAUCAUAGAAACAGUCACACCCUAAUAGAAAAGUUGAUAAUGGACAUGAACAGAACAUUUACAAAAGAAAACAAGGCUGAUACACACGAAGAAAGUUCAACAUUACUGGUAGAGAUGAAAACAUGCCACAUGCCUGACAUGGAGUGAACAUUCAUUAAAUAGCUUCUGAGUAGAUGAACCAAAAAGAAUGUAACCUUUUUGUCUAAAGAUAAAAAAGAGAGAACACUCAAUGCUGAUGAAGAUAUGGAGAGAAGGACAUUUCAUACUUUGCUAAAAUGUGCAGAACUUGGUUCAAGCUUUCUAGAAAACAAUUUAGCAAGGUAUAUCAAGAAUCUUACAGUUGACCCCCUUUUACUCAAGAAAUUCACUUUAAGGAAUCUCUCCUAAGGAAAUCAUUAAAAAUAUGCCCAAGAUUCAUGUAUUUAAAAGGUUAAUUACUGUAAUAAAAAAAAGUUUUUAAAAACUGGAAGCAAAUUAGACACUCCCAAAUUAGAGAAUUAGCACCGUUAGAAAUAUUUUAAAGGCAUUUUAAAGCAUAGGGAGAACACGCCUGUUUUAAAAGUGGGAUAGAAAGUGUCUAUACAGGCCGGGCGUGGUGGCUCAAGCCUGUAAUCCCAACACUUUGGGAGGCCGAGGCGGGCGGAUCACGAGGUCAGGAGAUCGAGACCAUCCUGGCUAACAUGGUAAAACCCCAUCUCUACUAAAAAUACAAAAAACUAGCCGGGCAUGGUGGCGGGCGCCUGUAGUCCCAGCUACUCGGGAGGCUGAGGCAGGAGAAUGGCAUGAACCCGGGAGGCGGAGCUUGCAGUGAGCCGAGAUUGCACCACUGCACUCCAGCCUGGGUGACAGAGCAAUCUCCGUCUCAAAAAAAAAAAGAAAGUGUCUAUACAGGUUGGGCGUGGUGGCUCACACCUGUAAUCCCAGCACCUUGGGAGGCCGAGGUGGGUGGAUCACCUGAGGUCAGGAGUUCGAGACCAGCCUGACCAACAGGGUGAAAUCCCGUCUAUACUAAAAAUACAAAAUUAACUGGGUGUGGUGACACGUGCCUGUAAUCCAAGCUAAUUGGGAGGCUGAGGCAGGAGAAUUGCUUAACCCAGGAGGUAGAGGUUGCAUUGAGCCAAGAUUGCGCCACUGCACUCCAGCUUGGGCAACAAGAGUGAAACUCCAUCUCUAAAUAAAUAAAUAAAUAAAUAAAUAAAUAAAUAAAUGUACCUAUACAGAAUUAUGCUGAUUCUGCAAAUUGUGUGUAUGUAGGAAAAUGCUGGAAGGAAAUACACAAAACCCUAAUAGAGCUUUGAGGAUUAGAGGUAAUAUGUGGAAUCUAAAAUAGUCAAAUACAGUCCAUAGAAACAGAGUGGUGGUUGCGGGGGAUGGGGAGAUGUGGGUCAAAGGGUGUAAAGCUGGAAUGAUGAAUAAAUCUAGAGAUCUGCAGUACAGCAUGAGGACCACAGUGAAGAUACUGAAUAUUUCUAAGUACAUUUUAGGUGGGCUUAGCACACAUGCACAAAAAAGUAACUGUGAGAUGGUCCACUCAUAGCUUGAGUGUAAGUUAGUAUUUUGCUAUGUACAUGUUAUAUCAAACCAGCAUGUUGACACCUUAAGUAUAUACAAUAAAAAAUAAAAGAGGUUUUAUUACAAAUGAGUCAGAAUAGAAUGAAAAACACCAUAUAAAAAAUUAGAAGAGUGAUCGCCUGCUUUGGAGACAGGUCUUCACUCAAGUCCUUAUCCACAUAGCCCAACUGCCCACUGGCUCUGUCUCUGCCAUUGACUCUGUGUACUGACAUGUCUGAAUGCCACCUAUCCCCCCUCACACCUGGGCCCCACCUGUCCCCCCUCACACCUGGGCUUCCUCUUGGACUGCAUUUUGUGGUGAAUGAUGCCACUUGAUAACCCUGGCCACUCUGCCUGCGUCACCCUCCCCCAUUUCUCCCCCGAAUCCAUCACCACGUGUGUCCUGACCAAAGCUUUCCAUUUGGCCUCCUUGCCUUGAUGGCCUGUUCCCCACCCCCACCCCCUCGAGUCACUCUCUUCACCGCAGCCUGCCUGGCCUUUCUGAAGUGCACAUCUGACUUUUGUCAGGUUCCUGGAUGGAAAUCUUCAGGCAAGCAAGGCGUGGCAUUCACACCUCUGUCAACAAGCACUGCCGAGUCUGCAUCUCCCAUCACCCCUUCCCCACACACACAGGUCUGCGCCUCUGGACAGGCUGCCCCACCUGCCUCCCAUCCCACUAACUCUGCCAAGCCUGUCCAUUGGGGUCAGUUGUGACUUCACCUCCAUGCCUGUCCAUUGGGGUCAAUUGUGACUUCACCUCCAAGCCUGUCCAUUGGGGUCAAUUGUGACUUCACCUCCAAGCCUGUCCACUGGGGUCAGUUGUGACUUCACCUCCAAGCCUGUCCACUGGGGUCAGUUGUGACUUCACCUCCAUGCCUGUCCACUGGGGUCAGUUGUGACUUCACCUCCAUGCCUGUCCACUGGGGUCAGUUGUGACUUCACCUCCAAGCCUGUCCACUGGGGUCAGUUGUGACUUCACCUCCAUGCCUGUCCACUGGGGUCAGUUGUGACUUCACCUCCAAGCCUGUCCACUGGGGUCAGUUGUGACUUCACCUCCAUGCCUGUCCACUGGGGUCAGUUGUGACUUCACCUCCAAGCCUGUCCACUGGGGUCAGUUGUGACUUCACCUCCAAGCCUGUCCACUGGGGUCAGUUGUGACUUCACCUCCAAGCCUGUCCACUGGGGUCAGUUGUGACUUCACCUCCAAGCCUGUCCACUGGGGUCAGUUGUGACUUCACCUCCAAGCCUGUCCACUGGGGUCAGUUGUGACUUCACCUCCAUGCCUGUCCAUUGGGGUCAGUUGUGACUUCACCUCCAUGCCUGUCCAUUGGGGUCAGUUGUGACUUCACCUCCAUGCCUGUCCAUUGGGGUCAGUUGUGACUUCACCUCCAUGCCUGUCCAUUGGGGUCAGUUGUGACUUCACCUCCAAGCCUGUCCAUUGGGGUCAGUUGUGACUUCACCUCCAAGCCUGUCCAUUGGGGUCAGUUGUGACUUCACCUCCAUGCCUGUCCAUUGGGGUCAGUUGUGACUUCACCUCCAUGCCUGUCCAUUGGGGUCAGUUGUGACUUCACCUCCAAGCCUGUCCAUUGGGGUCAGUUGUGACUUCACCUCCAUGCCUGUCCAUUGGGGUCAGUUGUGACUUCACCUCCAUGCCUGUCCAUUGGGGUCAGUUGUGACUUCACCUCCAUGCCUGUCCAUUGGGGUCAGUUGUGACUUCACCUCCAUUGGAAGCUGCGCGGGGUGGCGGUUGAGUGUCACAAGCCCUACACAUACUGUUUUUCUGCUCCCAUGGCACUCAUUAUACACUGUGACUCUGUUUUUGUAUCUUUGUCUCCUCUACCAGACCGUGAGCACCUAGCCAAGUAGGCACUCAGGGUUUGUAGAAUGAAUGAAUGAAUGUUUCCACCACCUCAGCAGACUUAUCUGCUUUCAUCCUGAAAGAGGUAUCAAACCAAGAUUUUGUAGCUUCCCCCAGUUAGCUGCUGAAGUAUUAUAUCAUCCUCACAAGUGAGACAGUCAUCCUUAUGCAUUAAUCACCCAGCAAAUUCAUGUAUUAUAUACUGUCUGUCAUGACACUAUCGCUGGUUUCAUUUGAACCUACUUACUCCUGCUAAGUCUUUCACAGGAACAUUACUCAUAUCACUAAACACAACAAUCAUCUCAAGUACUGUGCACCAGGCAGUGUGAAAGGCCCUAGGAAUAUAAGAAUAAACCAGACUGUUACUACUUAAAGGCCAUUAGCAAGAAAUCCUCCAGCCUUGUGUGGAAUAAAAUCCUCAGUUGCCUUAUCUUUUCCUGGAAGGGCGUGUAAUUUCUGUGGCUUGUGUAUCAGCUUUUCACAAUUGUCCAAAAUCUUUUUUCAAGUGUGACUCAGGACACAAUGAUGAGUCUGACAAACACUACGUCUUGUUUUCUUACCCUUCUAUGUCAUACUCCUUUUAAUAUACCCAAGAAUCAUGACUAUUUUUUUCCCACAGCAGCCUCACAGCACUGACUUUAAGUUUAGCUGAUGAGUGAUAAAGGCUACCAUUUUUUAAAAAACGAUGUUUCUUUUGUACUCAACCAUGCUAUUUUAAAUCUAUCUCUACUACAUUUCUUCUGCUAACGUAGAAUCAUUUUUCUGCUUUAUUAUAAUUGUUAUGAAUUAUACUUCUGGAGUUGACAUGAUUUUGAUUCCUACCUAAUGUGGUAGCGUGCACAAUAGAAAAAUGAAAAGAGAUUUCAUAGUUUUAUAUUGUGCAAGAGGCAUAGACAAAUAUAUGUAUGAAAAAUCUGCCCAACUGCUUAAUGUUGAGUCUUCAGCCCUCUACCUGAAUUCACAACAUACUUUACAAAUACUCGUGGCUACAUGUUGAGGGAUUCUGGGCUAUCAGUUUGGAGACUCUGGUAUUAACCAUGCUCUUUAUUUAUUAUUAGUCAUGUAUUUUCCCCACCCUUUGUCUUUGGCUUUGCACCCCCACCUAGCAACCACAAUGACUUCUUUUUGACCUGGAUGGCUCGUCUUUUUACAUAACAGUGUUUCCUGGGAAGCUUAAGAACAGCAGAGUCACAGUGAGGGCUUAGUCCACGGCAGCCCUUCUUAAUGUGGGGUACAUGGAUGGGCUUCUUUGGGUCUGUAAAUGGGCAGGCACAUGUUUGCAUACAGGUGUGGGAAAAGGAUUCAUGGAUUCCAUCAUAAUCUCAAAGGGAUCUAGCACCCUGGAAAGGUUAACAACGGUAACUCCCAGGCAUCCAGACACAGCACGGCACAGCACAGCACACUGAAUAAACAGCCACAGCUUGCCUGACUCAACCUUCUACUAAGCCACCUCCCAAGAGAGCAAGAAAUUCUAUAGUAAUUAUACACCAACCGUCUUCUGGAAGGCAACUACGCUCACCACUAUACCACCAACCCGCCAAACAUCUUUUGAAUAAUGAAGAUCAUAAUUUGAGGGUGUGAUUUUGGGGGGGGGGAUCCGGCAUAUAUGACAUUAUAUAGAGGCCAUAAUCUAACACUUUAAAUAUCAAAGCUGUCUUUUCUCAGUUUCUGCUUUUAUCCAUGUUUUACGUACUUUCUUUGUCCUCUUCUGAUACUUUCAGCUUAUUUGAUAACACUGGUUGAAAACCAAAACAUCAUGAAUCACAAGUUUCUCUACAUAUUAACAUUUAGAAGCUCAAAGCACGAGUCUUUCAUUAACUGUUGAUCAUUAUAUUAUUUUUGCCAGAAUAUACUGGUGCCUUGUAUACUUGUGUUUUAAUAGCAUUACAGAUAUCAUUUUGGUGUACAUAUGUCAAAACCAAAACUGCCUUUAUGUCAAUAUGCUGCAAAAAUCUAUCAGAAUAUAUCUUAAUUCUUAACUUUCAUUGUUGUCUGUGGGUUGUCUUUUAUAAUUAUUAUCACAUCCACAGUAUUUUCUGUAGGUAAAUAUGAAAUGUAUUAUAAACGUACUGGGGGAAAAUGCUCUUUAAAGCCUUUCCCUAGACAAAGCACCAUUUACGUGUUAGAAGCAAGAACUAGUGAAAUCAGAAAUUGCUGUCAUACAUACUCACCAGUGAACGGGCGUACAGAGGAUCCCCAAGCGCAGGACUUGUCCUGGAAGCAGAGGAUUGGAUUCCAUCAGGAAAAGAGGCAAGUAGAAACACCAAAUGCCAGUGCUGCCUUUCCCCAGCUCAUCUUGUUUGCAGGCACACAGAUUUUGGAAUCCUCCAGGACUAACAAUAAAAACCACACUAGGUUGUUUUCCUAAUUCCUAUGAAAUGAGUCAGUAGGUCAAACAACUUAUCCACUCCGGAGAGAGAACAAUUCCUCGAGCUACACUCCCUGUUUCCAGUAACCCUAUUCCUUCUCUGUGCCCCUGGAUAAAAGUGCUGCCAAUAAUGCAUGGAGAGCCCACCGGGUUCUGAAUGAGACACAUCGCAGAGAUUGCCAGAAAGUUAAGUUAGUUGCCUUCAUGGGAUAGUUUCCCUUAUGAAUAUUUAGGAGGAAAAAAGUCCAGUUAAGAGUAACAUGAGGAUCAAGUUUCUUCAUUUAAAGAGUCAGCAUAACUUUUUCUCUAUCAAGACCAUUUAUUUUUUUCAUAUAGGAGGACUGAAUGAUGCUGAAAAUAAUAUAGAAAAGCGAUAACUGUACCUUUAAAAGCCCCCACAAACCACUUCCUUCUGUAAAACACCCUUUCCUCCUCCAAAGGUCUAGUAUAUUCACAAGAUUCACUGAUUAUUCAAUGAAUCCAUAUUCUUAAAAACCCUUCACAGUUGUCUGUGCGUCCUGCAGUUCCAUACUCUGUGUCAUAUAAAGCAGAAGGUGUUUAAGAGCUUGCUAGCCGUCAUUUAAAUCCAUGACUCAAGACGACCAACACUGGGUUACCAAUAAUCUUCAGAAACUACCACCUACUCACCGAGUGUAACAUUUCUUGGUAGUUAGCGACCUCUGCAUAGGAAAUCACCAGCUCCUGGCAAUGAAUCCAUACUUCCAAGAACUCACACAUUCAGGCAGAUAUAUGGACAUACAGCUCUAAAUAUAGAUACAGAGAGGUCUGCCGUGACAGUUCAGUAGGAGACUGGAAAUACUUUUGCUUUCUGUAUCGAUAGUACUUUCUUUCCUUUUUAAAGAGAAGGUUUCGUUUUGAUCUUGAGAAAUUCUGAUAAAACCACCAACUGAAAACCUGCCAUUAUAAAGGAGGGAUUUCACAACGUUCAUUCCAAAAAACUGUGGCUAUUCAUUUCUGGAAGUGAUUCACUGCAGAAGAAUCGCUGUUUGGGGGUGGAGGGAGCGUUGAUUUUUAGAAGCCAGCCUGCCCUCUGAGAAGUGAGCAGAAACCUCCGAGAUGGCAGCCACGUGCCUUCUGACCCCCAGCCCUGCUCCCUGAAUCACCACCCCUCGAGAUGACACGCAGUGACCAAUUUCCUCUUAAAACUCCCUUCUGUUCAAAAACCCUAUGAUCCAUGCACCCUGUGUCUAAUCCUCUGCGAUGGGGCCAGUCUGCAGAUCCGUCUGGGCGGGCUGCGGUAGCAUUCUCCACCUGCCAACACUCAGUUGCUGGUGAGUAACCAGCAUACGGACUCUCACUUCCUAGGCAGGGUCUCACUUCGUCUCAGCCUCCAGAGUAGCUGAAACUACAGGUAAGUACCACCAUGCCCAGAUAAUUUUUUUUUUUUUUUUUGGUAGAGAUGACACCUUGCUAUGUUGCCCAGGGUGGUCUCUAACUCCUGGCAUUUAGCGAUUCUCCCGCCUUGGCCUCCUAAAGCACUGGGGUUACAGGCAUGAACCACUGUGCCCAGCCUGCAUGAUGUAAUCUCCAAAUUGAGGGUGAGUAAAAAGUAGCACCUAUAACUAGAGGUAAAUUUUUAAUUUAAAACAACUACACUACGCAAUAGUCAUCUCCUCAGCCCUUGCCCACGAGACCUUAUGAACCUCCUCAAUAGAAAAAAAAGGAAUAUUCUGUGAUCGGAUCAAAGGAACAGGAACCCUUUACAUGGAGGGUAAUUUUAAAUAGCUACAAUUUUUGAGCUCGUCCAUUGAUACCGAGCUCAGCAAAAGAAAAAGCAGUGAUUACAGGCCUGACCACUACUCAAUGAUUAGAAUAUUCACUCUUCUCUAUUACUUAGAAGGAAACCCCCCUCUCCCACUAUGUCAGGUAUACACAAGUUCACAGCUCUCAGUGUUUCUGUGCAAUUUGUUCCUGUUUCAGACGGCUUUCCAGAAAAGUUCCUCUUAAGUCCUGGGUGGCCAAUGCAGAGGUUUUAAAAAGAGGAAAAGUAGAGCAAAACAACAAAAAGAUCAUGAAAUAGAAGCUUGGGGAGGGGGGAGCAAAGAGAACAUGAAUCUAACAGAUGCAGCAGUUGCAAAAAAGCUGCUAUCCUUUAGAAACUCCUAUUAAUUUGGGGACCUAAAGGGAGCUGUUUCUAAGGCUGGAUGUUGAGAAUGUGAUGAAACCAUGGAGGCUGUCCAGGUCCUUGCUAUGCUGUGGACACCAUUCAGGAGUUAUAGAGUCCACCCUCUCCAAACAAAGUAAAACCCCGUGACAAAUGUCCUUCAUGUUUAACAUUUACUCAGUUCUCUUUUAAACAAUGAAAUGGAGCGCACUCUUUCGUGGCACUUUUAUAGGCAGGAGAGAGAGUGGUCUCACAACGGAAAGGCACCAGCCACUGAGAAGUCUUAAGGCUGUGUUUGAGUUCUGGCUCAUCUUUUUUGCUAAUUUGCCCUUGUGCAUAUCACCCAACCUCGCUAAGCCAGUUUCAUCAUCAGCGAGAACAGCACACUGACAUGCAGGGCCAGCUCAGGCGCUACCACGAGCUACACAUCCGUCCAUUCGUUUAAUCUUCAUAGCAGCCCUGGAGGUAAGUUCUAUCUUUAAUCCUCAUCCUACAGUUAAGGAAACUGAGGCCCAGGGUGCUAAGGACACGCCCAGGGUUACACAAUCAGUAGAUGGUCGAGCCAGGAUUCAGAGCCAGGGAGCCUGACCUUGACUCCACACUCCAGAGCCUGCCCUCAGCAUGUCUGCCAGUAACACCCAGGUUGGCUGAACAGCAAGGAAAACAGCAUAUAAGAAACUACCUUAAAACCUACAAAGACCAUAAAAACACAAGGUAGAUUUUUAAUCAUGUCACAUGCAAAUAUAUUCUCUGUAAAAAUGUAAUGAAGAUUCAGGACAACUAAGCGUGGUAACUCUGCUGAUCCUGUGAAACAGUUUCAUAUAACUUGCACGUUACUUAGUUGCACAGUGUGUGGUACUGAGUUGUAGAGGUAGAAGGGAUUCAGAGAUCCUGUUUUCCGUCAGGGUGGUUGGGUAAGGCUCCCAGACACAGGGCUGAAGUCUGAACCUUCAUCCUUUCACUCCCAGCCCAAUGAUGUGCCACUGUGUCAUAGCCACAUGGUGGUUAUGAAUGCAUCUGGAACUCUACAUUUUAAUCUGCCAGGCAUCCAUCCAUUCGUUCACAUAAUUCACGUGUGUGUAAUAGUAACCUUCAGAAAUGAAUGUCACAAUAUUUUUCUCAUUACAACAUCUUUAGGCUUUAAGAUGAAAAGGGUGAAGAAAGAAAUCUUUUCUAAAUCUUUUAUUCCUGCUAUUCAUUUUUUUAUUCAAGGAAAAACAAAGCCUCUAUUAAAGUUCUGCUUACUAUGAAAUGUAACUGAAGUUCUAUCCAAUUCUUUCCUCUUCUCUGUAAACUUGUUCACAUGCAACAGCCUCUCUGAUGUUAACAGGUUGUUCCUCCCAAGUGCCUGCAGAUCAUGGCCAUAGGAGUCACUGGAAGGAACUUGCCUCGGCGGCAGCUUGGAGGCUUCCUGGGCUUUAAUGAUGAAAAAUGAUUUGGUCAUUUAAGACAGAGCCCCACUCUGUUGCCCAGGCUGGAGUACAGUGGCGCGAUCAUAGCUCACUGCAGCCUCAAACUCCUGGGCUGAAGUGAUCCUCCUGCCCCAGUUUCUUGAGUAGCUGGAACUACAGGCGUGUGCCACAUCUGGCUAUUUUUUUUUUUUUUAAUAGAGAAGGGGUCUUGCUAUGUUGCCCAGGCUCAUCUUGAACUUCUGGGCUGAAGCAUUCCUUUCACCUCAGACCCCCAAAGCAAUGGUUCACAGGUUCACAGGUAUGAACUACCAUGCCUAGCCUAGCUAUUUACUCUUGAAGGAAAAAAUAAUUUUUAUUUAGUUUUCAAACCUUUCAUGCUAUUUACACUAAAGUUUGGCCUUAUUAUUUUUGCUUAGAAUCUUUUAAUGGUUUUAGGUCGUGUGGGGUCACAUCAAAACACUUGAAAAUGCCUCUUUCUAAAACAAAGACAAUCGUUGACCAAAAAAAGUUAAAAGAAAAAAGGAGACCAGUCAGGUAUUUAGUUCCAUUUAAGAGAGCACAGGCGACUGUAUGCAAGAUUCUGGAAAAUUUAUGUACGUUAAAUUUAUAAGCCAGCACUUUUUUCCCAAAGAUUUAUUUGGUGUGAAAAGUUACUUCCUCUACUGUAAUCAUAAAAUCAAAUGUUAUUUACUCCUGUCAUAACCAUUCACAUACUUCCUGCCAUAAAAACUUAAACCUGGCUAGAAUAUUAAAUAAAACAUGCAAAAAACUACAAGUUCAGGAAGUGACUGUAUGUAUUAUAUACAUUAAGUUCAUAUUCCAAUCUAAGAGAAAGCUGAAUCACCCCUACUUAGGAAAACCAGUAUUACGUUUUAUCAUCUGGGGUGACUAAUCCCACAAUGGCCCAUGCUGAACUUUAAGGGUAAAAAGGGCUUUCUCUUUUGCACUAAGCUCAGUCCAUAGUUUUGUGGGGGCUGUCAGGACGCCUCGCAGGUCUGUGAUGUGUAGUGGGCUGAAAUACACUGCACAUGGCCCAGAGUUAAAAUUGUAAAGAUCCAAAGACUUACUUAGGGUAGAUGUGCACACUUUAAAUGCAUGUGCAAGUUUUUCUUUGGUGCCUGCCUACUUCUAAAAGAAAACAAGCUUCUAAAUGCUUAGGCUUUGGCGUGUCGGGUGGGAAAAUCAGAGCCAGUGUACACAUCCAAUGAUAGAAGAAAGCGUGCGUGAACAGAUUUGUUUACAAAACAGGGCCCAGCAAAGUCUGUCUCUCAGUGCCUCAGCAGCAUCCAUCCAACAAAACAAACACACAAACACAUUGAUCUAGGGAACUCGCUCUUUCUUCUGAUGAAGGUGUAACAGUUUGUGAUUAUAACUGGGCAGUAAGUUACAACAUAAUCACCUGACCCAGGUUUGAAUUGGAGAUAUGCCAACAAAUCCAGUUUAACACAAGUGCGCAUGCACACAUGUGCAACACACACACACACACGGUUAUAUGUAGUACAGUGGUUUCAGCUCUCCUUCUGUGGCAUUAAUCUCAAAUCUGUAUCUUUAAUGGUAGCUACCUCUCCUACCUAUAUCUUUAACAUAUUUCUAUCUGGAUAAGGCAGUCCCUUUAAAUUCAUCAUGAAGCAAAAAAACCAACACCAUUCUACUGAUUUUACUUUACUUUAUAGCCAUCCUACCAGGGUUGAAAGUUUGGCCUCUGGACUCCCUUUCUUCACUGAGCUGAACUCAGCCAUUCUGUCACCAAGUCUAGUCAAUACUUAUUUUCAAUGUCUGCUGCCUCCAUCCUUUCCCUCCCACUCCCAUUUCCAGUCACCCAGGAUGCACCUUUCUCUCUGUCCUUGGACAAGUAAGACAGCCUUUGUAAUUGGUUCACUUGCCAAGGAGCAACUGGGUGGUGAAGAAACACAGCAGGCAUUAGGAAGGUUGGGUUCUAGGCUUGGCUAUGCCAGAACCAAACCAUGUGAUGCCAAGAAAGUACAUCAUAUCCUUGGGCCUUAGUGUUCUCACCUAUGCCAUGAAAAAACUGGCUAUCAAAUGUUAUUAGCUGAUGCAGAGCAUACAGAGUCACCAACUGUGGUCUUCUAAAAUGUAGUAAAAUUCAUGUCGCUGCAUUCCUCAAAAAUUUUCUGUGACUUUGCAACGUCUAGAGGGUAAAACUUAAGCUCUCUAGCUUCUGGGCUUAUAUAAAGAAUUAAAAUAAGUGUAAAAGUCUCAUAUAAAAUGUAAGGUAGCACACAAAAGCAAUAACAGCCCUAAUGAGGACAGGACUAUUUCUUAAACUCAUGCACAGGGUAUUACUCAGGGUUUUAUACAUAUGGGUUCUAAUCCUCAUGACCAUGAUGCAAGGUUGGUUUUAUUACUCUACAUAAAAGAUCAAGAAUCUUAGGUUCUGUGAAUAGCAUGCUCAAGGUUAUAGAACUCAGUGAAGUGUCAGGGGUGGCUUCCAAAUCUACAUGUGGUUGAUUAUAAAGCCCACUAAACCAUACUGAGUAUUUUAAAUACAACAUAAUAUUUGGCAGGGGGUGCGGAUUCAUUACUCAAGUAAUCAUCAUCUGAAUCCCUAUAGUUACCAAGUUGCAUAAGGAAGCAAAGGUCAUCAUCAUAUAAAAAUAUUGACAAAUACAGCGAUCACUUAUUAUUAGUCCUCAUUAAACGUCAGCAUCUAUUCUUGCUCACUUUCUUGGUUGAAUAAUGUCAUAGAAUAAAAUGAAAAUCCAAUGUAGCUCACUUGUAAGGUGGAAUUGCAGAUUUUCACACAGUUGAUAAAAAUGAUACCAGCAAACUGCAUGAGUCACAUAGGGUCAUGACAAGGAUGAAAGACAGUUUCAACAGUUAACAACUGAGGAAGAGAAAGUCAACCGAGGUGAUUACAUGAGAGGUAGACUCUUCAAGAGAAUGGUUUGUAUAUCAAAAGAUUAAGAGAGGCCUUCGGGGAAAUUUGAAUGCUUGUACAAAAAUCAUCUUCUUUAUAUGAUUCUGCUUUAGAAGUCAACAUUCAAUCUUUCUUCUAAGAAAUAACAUGCCAUUGCAUCAUAUCCCAAAUUUCUAUUAUAUAAAACAAACUAAACUUCAACUUUAGUUUUUUUUUUUUCAGGACUUAGUCCCAAUAAGAUCUUUAAAAAAAAAAAAAAGUGACUGUUUGUUUUUAAAUGUUUGAUUCAGUUUUGUCAAUUCUCUUAAAAUAGCAGUAGUUCCGGUAUCAGUUAUCUUCAGAUAACAAGUACCUCCUGAAAUGGUAGUAAUAGGAAAAAAAAAGAAGAAGAAGAAAAGAAUUAACUGAUAUGCAAGUAGCCGUCAACAAGAACUAAUUCUUCAGCCCGUGAUGGAAAGCAAUGUCCUAGUUUUUCUCUCAAGAUCUCGGGCUCACCCAGACCAGAGCGCUCAGCAAGAAGCUAUGCUCAUCACCCCCAUGCCCCAUUCCCACCACUGUAUCAAUGCCAGUGUGGGUAUGCCAUUUGUAUGGUUAUUAGGCCAGACCCUGGGCAAGUCUGACUGUUGAGGCAAAACGAGACUGCAGCCCUGUAAACCCUCAGUCUAAAUCCUAACUUUACAUAAUUCACCCCAUCCAUUCUGUCUUUAUCCAGUCCUCUGAAGAUCUCCACUUUUUUUUUCAGAAGACAAGAGUCAGGGACCUGGAAGAAUUCUGCUGUAUAAUAACCCACUUUUAAAAGGCACCCCUGUAUCACGAUCCUUCCUGACAUAUACCGGUGUAUAUAUCAAAUGGUUUUGGUUCCUGCAAAUAUUCUUCCAUCGAAUGUUCAGAGAAGGGCUAUUUUGAGAAAGAUUUAAUGGGAUUUGUAACAUAAAACCUCAAAUGAAUACUGAGUUAACUAAGACAACUCUGGAACACAAAGUGUGGUUGUUAUAACCUUGCUUUUUCUGGUGACUAUAACUGAAUCCAAGAAUCUAAUAAAAUAGUCUCUCAUGCCAGAAAGAAACCCAAGAAGGUAUGUCCUCAGAAAAUUUAGUCUGAAGUUGGUCAAUUCUAAGGCAGUCACUCUAAGUGAUCAGAACUUUAUUAGUGAGCUUUUGGCCUUGCAGGAUUGAUGUUUGCUACAGAGAUCUUGGCUUGCUCCUUAAGAGAGUUCUAUGACACUGUGAAAUAGCUCCUUUUCUCUGACAAGCAUAAGGUGUUACUCUUCAUUAAGAAAAUCCUAGAGUUGUGAUCCACGCAUUAUACUUGUGAGUCUUUCUCAUGUGUGUGCAAAACAUACACACGUUCAGUAAGGCACAGUGCAAGAUUAAUAUGUUCACAUACACAAGAGCCUUUCUGGAAUUCAGAAAUCUGAAAUUGGGGAAUGGCAUAAGCUGAAGUGAGACAGGAAGGAAAAGGUGGCAGUUCAGCAGUUUUGAACUUCUGACUGUGAUUCCGAAUCCUUUUUUAAAAAAGGAUUUUGUAGCACGACCCCAAAGGCAGCACAAAGACGUUGGUGAGUGUGUAUUAAUCGAGGCCAUUGAGGAUGUUAUUUUCUCCUUUAAGACCCUGACCAGAAGCAGAAUAUGCCAGCAGCAAAUGCAGGCAGUGCUGCUGUUCCCUUCACAGUCCUCGGAGGCAUUGAAGCCUGUGCUUGAGACGCGCAGGGCGGAAUGCUUGUUUUGGAGAGCAUUCAGCGGAUAGCAUUUGGUUUCCUCCAUUUAACCAGGUCACCCAGGCAUGGAAUGCACAGCUCUGCCAGACAGAAAGCGCUUUGGAUGCCUGAGAAACAACAGCUUGUCCGGGCUACUGAUGCGAAGAGAGGCCACGGUUUCCUUUUUCUCUGCUCUGAAUGGCAGCCUUGACGUCACAACAGCUAGGAACCACUGGAGGGACAAAUAACAAGGCACAAGCCAGAAGCGCCCUGCUCUGUCGCAGGGGCAGGGCCAUUUUCAUCCAGUUCUGAUGUCCUCUGUAGCUGCUGCGAGUCAGCGGGAGCAGAGACAAAUGACUGGAGCUUUAGGCGUAAAGGCGGUCUCUCUAGGCUGAUCAAACAGCCCUUUGCCCAGUGCUAAUUGCCUUCAUGGAACCUGGAUAAACUGCAGUUCCUGAAUUAAACUUGUUUCUGACAAACUAGACUUCCCAGGGGAAUGGGUGUAGUGAUUUUGCUGAUGGUUCAGACAUCGGCACUUUCCCUGAAGGGCUCAACUUCCUGUGUUUAAAAGCAGACCUUUUCUAACAGGGGCUGGUGCAUAAGCAUCCCGGGAAAUACAAGAAGCUCAUGAAAGCAGGCAGUCUUUGCAAGAGACCUGACUUAUUUUCUAGGAGAAAAACAUCCUUUUAGGGAUUUUAUAAUUUAAGUUUAAGCAAUUAAACAUGUGCAUCAGUACCCAACUGCAGGUGUUUGAACAAAUGAGUGAAAAACGCUCAGAGGCUGCCAGGCUUAACUCACCAUUAUCUAAAAUGAAUUGUCUGUGUAAGUCAUCACAGCAGUUUGAAAAGCAUGAUCUUUCAUGUUUCAACCUCACAUCAAAAUUCUAAAUUAUAUUUAGCUAUGUGAGUGUCAGAUCAUUUGUUUCCAUUAUCAAUGUGAUGUUGGGCAAUUUGCAGACAGGAUCUGAAAGCAUCAUCCAUGACUUUCAUGGAACAGAAAAGAGCUUUCUGUUGCCACAGAUUUGCCCUAAGUUCAGUCCUCUGCCUUUGGAGCACUGACAGCUGUCACCAAACCCAAACCCCAGUCUGAACCCACAGUGGCUCAAGGUACUUUGGGAAAGCUAAUUCAGGAAAACCAUAGGCUGGAGGGGUUGUCUUUGAGGUGUGUGCGUGUGUGUGUAUGCACAUUUGUUGGCAGUGUGUGGACCGAGCACAACAUAUAGAGAGGCAGUGUUCUCAGGACUUCUGUGCUCCUAUUUGGAAAAAUUCAGCAGAAGAAACAACAGCUCUGAGACACUCAGCCCCUUUCAUCAGCUCUUUCUUUGCUUAAUUAAAUAUGCAGUUCCCCCCAAAGCACUCUUUCCCUGAGGUCAUAGUGUCAGUCUUGUUUCAUGAGAAUAAUCUGCUAUGAAUAUUUACUCACUUUCGAAAACAAAAGAGGGUUAAAAAUCUGAUCCAAAAUGUCACUUACGACACCUACAACAGAAUCUACCCCUCUGCCUCCAGGCUGUCCUGACAACCCAUGUCCUCAACAGGAAUCUGCGGUCUGUUCUGGAAUCUGGUCUUUGGACUCAAAUGAUCUUACCUGGGUAGCUCACAAAGUCUUGUGUCUUGUUCCUGCUGUUAAAAAAUCCAAGUAUGUUCAGGCAUUAAACAAUGGAGAAGAUAAAGCAAAAAUAAUUUUUUAACUACAUCCUUCUUUUUCAAGUUGUGGUUAUGCUCAAGAGGUGAAAUUUAUUGUGGCCCUACCCCUGUUUUUAUAAGAGCUUUUUGUAGUAUAAGAACUAUAAUUAAGUUUCCUCUGAACUGUUUUAUUAAACUUAAGUUUUCAAGAAGAGAAUGAUAAAAUUUCUUAAACUAUUAUGUUUCCAAGGGGAGGACAAUUUAUUUUUAUUGUUCUAGCAUAAGGAAAGAGAGAAUGAGAGGGAAAGUGUUUUUUAACCUGUAUCCUGAUUAGAAUUUUUUAAUGUUCAAAUUCCUGAUUAUAAACUGCAGUAAACAAUCAGUCAUUCAUUAACAAGCAACUAUUGAAAAGGCGAUAUUUAAAAGAGAAAAAAUAAAACAUGUGAUUAAAACUCUACACACGUCUUCACUUCAAGGCAAACGCAGUGGCCAUCUGGGUAUUUAGAAGGUGCCAAAUAUCAUUGGGAUCGAGAUUUAAUUCAUGUUAUAAAGAAAGCACUAUAUUUAAUUUGUUCACGAAAGACCUAGAACCUCGUAGAAAUGAUGGUGUUGAAGUGAACUUUUAACUUUAAAAUAAGGUCUUUAUUUUACAAUUUUUUAAAUAUGUGAUCAAUCACAAACAUGAACAAACUUUCAAUGCUCCAGUGUUCUACUCUGAAUGAGAAAAGUUGGAAAGAUCAUUUUCAGCUUUCAUAAAUUUUUGCUUUAAUUUUCUCUAUUUGGAAAUCUUUAAAAAUUAGUCAGUUUAAAAGUCCUGGCUGCUUUUAGUCAGAAGGGCCUAAGAAGAGACAAGACUUUUCCCAGGGUAUCCAAAGAUAGAUCGGGAGAAUUUAAAGCCUGGACAUAUUACCUGGACUGAAGGCAUUCAUUGCAUGCUUUACUGGUGAGGACUGGGAAGAUCUGACUUCCACAGUCCUCUUUCCAAGUGGCAGGAAACAGGACAUGCACUAUGUCAAGCAGCUUCCAGCACCCAUGCAGCACCCUUCCAGCACCCAUGCAGCAGUAUCCAUGCUCUGAAGUGAAGCCUGAACUCACCACCUUGCCACUGAGGGCUCCCCAGCAGGGCAGGGAUAGGACCUUUCCUGGUAUCACAUGCUCGCUCGCCUCCUGAGUCCUGCACGAACAGCAGACUGCAUCCCUGUUUUCAGUCUGAGGACACUCAUGAGAUUUUUCCAAAAAUUUUCUUCAGGAGCAGACGCUAUUGUGAAUACCACAUAAACAAGCUCUCCCUUUUCCAAUUCCUCUUUUGAAAAUGGUAGAGAAUCAGCAUAUCUGGCUCUAACUUAACUUGUAAAAAAUAAUAAUACAUUUUAAAAAAAGUUUCAGUUUAUCACACUCAACCACAGUUAUCUUCCAAUCCUACAAUGUACACAUGAAAAAUUAGUUUUCAAAGACUGCCACUUGUGCUUGUUAGGAAAAACUUCUAUCUAUCCAUCCUUUCUAUGAAAAAAACUCUAUAAUGCUAACCUCCCAGAGUGACUCUGCACUAGAUAGCUUCACAAAACUACAAUCUUUAUGCUUACAAAGCUACUUCUAAUGGGUAACAACAGAAGCACGUCAUGAACAAUACUUUCUGAAUAGGUACACAGGAUUGACACAUGCCAGGCUUUAGUUAGACUCUCACGGUGUUUGUCCCUUUACGUCAGGGCACAUCAUACCCUGCAGCGGCCUUUGUGUGCUUAUUUGCUGCCAGAUUCCUCUGCUAGUGUGUAAGUGCCGUGAAGGCAGGAUUCAUGCCUAUGCCCUUCUUGUGUAAAAACUGCUAAUGCCGGGGCCGGGCAUGGGGGCUCACACCUGUAAUCCCAGCACUUUGGGAGGCUGAGGUGGGCAGAUCACCUGAGGUCAGGAGUUUGAGACCAGCCUGGCCAACAUGGUGAAACCCCAUCUCUACUAAAAAUACAAAAAUUAGCUGGGUGUGGUGGCGGGCGUCUGUAAUCCCAGCUACUUGGGAGGCUGAGGCAGGAGAAUGGCUUGAACCCGGGAGGUGGAGGUUGCAGUGAGCCGAGAUUGGGCUACUGUACUCCAGCCUGGGCAACAGAGCGAGAUUCGGUCUCAAAACAAACAAAAACAAACAAACAAACAAACUGCUAAUGCCAGAAAGAGGGAGAGGAAGAAGAAGGAAAGGAAGAAAAAAAGGUAGAAGGGAGAGGAAAGUGACAGAAAGAACAGAGAAGAAAAGGGAAGGGAGGAGGGAAAGAAAAGAGGCAGAAACAGCCACUACACUGGUUUUAGUAAAUAGGAGUGACUUUGAAGUUUCAUAAGAUUUUUCAUUCAUACAGUUAAAAGCUCCUUGUAGCCAUGAUCUCAUCAAAUCUCACAAUAACCCUGAGUGACCUUUUAACAUUAAACUAAAAUGUUUACUUACGGCAGAGAUUAGGAAUGACUAGUUUCUAGAUCUUCCACGUUUUAUCUGUACAUCACUCAUGACAGCAGGUAGUUCUGAGACAGACCUCUCAAGUGAUCUGUGUAUUCAUACAGGUCUGUGUUUCUGUAAGUCAACAGUUUAAGAAUUGUGAAAGGCCAGGCGCAGCAGCUCAUGCCUGUAAGCCUAGCACUUUGGGAGGCCAAGGCGGACAGAUCACUUGAGGCCAGGAGUUCGAGACCAGCCUGACCAACAUGGCGAAAGCUUGUCUCUACAAAAAAUACAAAAAUUAGCCGGGUGCGGUGACCCACGCCUGUGAUCCUGGCUACUCGGAAGGCUGAGGCACGAGAAUCACUUGAACCUGAGAGGUGGAGACUGCAGUGAGCUGAGAUCGUGCCACUGCACUCCAGCCUGGGUGACAGAGCAAGACCCUGUCUCAAAAAAAAAAAAAAAAAAAUUGUGAUAAAUGCCCAGCAUUUCCUUCAUUUUUAUUCACUCAACAUGUCUUAUAACCACAAAGCCCAGAUUUGAACCUUGUAUAUACUCAUGGAAAGGAGAACCAGUUCUCAAGCAACUCUUCUCAUUUUUACCAGCCACAUAAACAUGUAGCUUCUGGUAAAACAAUACUUCUCAUUUUACAAGUUCGUUAAUCAAUAAUGAGCAGGCUCAGUGGGGGCACAGGACAGCCUGAGCCUGACAGCGAGGAAGGCGGAUUUUGUCACAGAGGGAGGGUUCUCAUGAAACUCUGGAUCUCCCAGCUAGUUGGGGGGCACUAACAAGGGCUGCCCAGAGAGCAUGCGAGGUCUCUUCAAUCAUGCCACAAACCCCGCAAUGUCAGGACAAGGGCACCAGUGUUGACAGAGACCUUCGAGUUCAUCAGAGAGGUGACAUCACCUGCCUAGGUCUCCACUUCCCUGCUCUUUUCCCCAGCAAAACCAACUGCACUUUGCAUUCCCCGUCAUUAUUAAUCCACCAAACGAGCAACCUGUCCACAUAGGAACAAGGAACCUGAGGUGAAGUGAGCCGAACUGGCUUACCCAAGCUCACACAGCGCAGGGCCGUCAGCAUUGGGAGGCAGCCCUGGGUCCUAUAGGCCUCAUGUACGGCCUGCCUUGCUGUCGAGAAAGUCCCAGCCACCGACACAGCCUGCAGGAAACAGCACCAAAGUCACUUGCAGCAGCGCAGAGAAAGCGUGAACAAAGAACCUUUUUUUUUUUUUUUUGGAGACGGAGUCUCACUCUGUUGCCCAGGCUGGAGUACAGUGGCGCACGAUCUCAGCUCACUGCAACCUCCAUCUCCCAGGUUUAAGUGUUUCUCCUGCCUCAGCCUCCCAAGUAGCUGGGAUUACAGGCGUCCACCACCACCAUACCUGGCUAAUUUUUGUAUUUUUAGUAGAUGGGGUUUUGCCAUGUUGGCCAGGCUGGUCUCGAACUCCUGACCUCAGGUGAUCUGCCCGACUUGGCCUCCCAAAGUGCUGGGAUUAUAGGCAUGAGCCACUGCGCCUGGCCUUUUAUUUCUAAGAGAAAUAAAAGUCCCAGCAGAGCAUUCUAGUUUUGAAGCAUCUCACCUGGGAACACUAACAGACAGCAAAUUUAACCUGCUGAGUGCAGCCCUCAUUUGGUCCGUUUUUCUUGCCACAACUGCCUACUGCCCUUCUGUCAAGGCAGAGACAGACAUAAACCACUACCAUCUGUGGCUGCCCUGGGAACUGUGAGAACUCAUGGAAAUAAUGCGUCCCCUUGUGACUCUUCAUAUCGUGCACCUCCUGUGACAACCCUCCCCUCUGACAAUUACACUCACACCCAGUUCCCACCUGAACACGCUGAGUCCAGCCUUGGAGAUGCAGCUUUUGUCUUGCUGAAACCUUCCAGUUACAUUUCUCCAUCAAUUUUUCAAAUAGUAUUAUUAGCUGAGGGACUAAAAUCUGCCUGGCAUUCUUCUGAUGACAAAGGUAACCCAUCCCUCCCUGUGCUCUCCAUCCUCAAGUUGUUUCUAAUUCAGAUUUUCUUCUCCCUCCUCUUGAAUACCUACAUCUUCUUCCUGACUGACAUGGCUUUAGGAAACACAGCACAUUCACAAACAUCUGAAGCCAACUGCAAGGCACCUGUCACUCAGCGAGAAAAGCAGAGAGGUGCCAAUUCAGAUGGCUGAGCUAAUUCGCCUGGGUCCUGACCUGUGUCACCACAGGGUCGCAGAAAUGGAACCUUCUCCGUCACACCUCCUGAUGGCAGUCAGCUGUGACCCGCUGAAUCCAGGACAUCAUGCAUUCCAGUUUCAUUUGCGAGAACAUUUCCAGGUCCGGCUGAAGCCUAGUGGCGCCAGCAGAGGUCUCAACCCCUUUGGGAUGCUCAGUGGGAGACAGAAUCAAGGGCCAAUGAUCCGUGACCUAGUCCUAGUGCCCAUGUCAGUUUGUCAAAGGCCCUCAGAGCAGAUUGUGUUUUCCCUGGUGGGGGCUUGACUUCUUUGCUUUAAAAAGGAUUCUUAAGUAUUUAUUGCAGUAAAAUUAAGCACUUUCAAAUUUCUGCCAGAUCCCCUGGAGGUAUAUAGCUUAUUAACACAAAACAAAUGUGACACUUGAAAGGCAGGAGACUUGGUUUCUAUUCUCUGGCCCACUACUGACUUAUUGGGUGGCUUCAGGCAAAUAACUGAAAUCAAGAAGACACCAUUUUCAACAAGCACAGAGUGGACACCUGGCAGGUGAGCAGUGCCCUGUGAGGUCUGGGGCUGGGUUCGGUGGUGAAACUAGGUCAGCACACACAGCCCUUUGCUGGGGGCCCACUGCCUGGGGUAGGAUUUUUGUAGCUGGGUUCAAGGUGGACAUGCUGAAAUGUGACCCUAAAAUGUUUGUACUCUUGAAGCUGAAGGAGUGGGAAGAAACCUGUCAUUUAAAGAAGGACAAUAUGGCCAGGUGUGGUGGCUUACACCUGUAAUCUUAGCACUUUGGGAGGCCGAGGUGGGAAGAUCACUUGAGUCCAGGAGUUUGAGACUAGCCUGGGUAACAUAGGGAGACCACAUCUCUACAAACAUUUAAAAAUUAGCCAGGCAUGGUGGAAUGUGCCUGUAGUCCCAGCUACUCAGGAAGUUGAGGCAGGAGGAUCACUUGAGCCCAGGAGGUCAAGGCUACAGUGAGCUAUUGUCAUGCCACUGCACCCUGGCCUGGGUGACAGAGUGAGAUCCUGUCUCAAAAAAAAAAAAGGAAGGAAAGGAAGAAAGGGAGGAAGGGAGGGAGGGGAGAAGGAAGGAAGGAGAAGGCAGGCAGGAAAUCAGUAUGACAGUAUAGCAUUGGAGCUAAGAACACAGCUUCUAGAAGCAGACUCUGAAUUCAAAUCCUGGGUCUACCAUUUAUAAGCUGUACUUUCCUCUGUAAAAUAUGAAUCUAUAGUACCUACUUCUCACAGAUUGUUAUAAAGAUGAGAUGUGUUAAUACAGAUAAAGUAAGCACUCACUGAAUAUGAGGUAUUAACCAGAACCCAACAAGGUGCCAUCAUCAAAUAUAAUAAUUAAGUGCAUAACUUUUUUCAGUUUACAAAGCAAAUUUACAUAUAGCAUUUCAUUUGGAUCUCACAAAACUCCAUGAGAGCUGGCAAAAUACUUCCCCCCAUUUUCUUUGAAGCUCAUACUCUCCUCGUUUACUCCCUUACAAGUCACACUUGAACAAAGUGACCAGGCAGAUUUGGGAAAAAGCAAACAAACGAAAAACACCAGAUAGACCUUUAAGAAAUUAAAAAAAAAAACUGUUAACACAAAAAUCUCAGUUGAUGGGCUAAAUGGCCCAUCAUUCUGAGAACAGUUGGGAAGACAAUGCUUUAGAUGCCAUCUACACGCUGUUAGUUCCAUCUCAGACAUCUCUCCUGAGUAACAGCAUCCACCUGCCUACUCAUCAUUUCCAAUGGAUUUCUAAUAGAGAUCUCAGACUCAACAUGUCUAAAAAAAAGAGCUCCUUGUUUCCCACCCCCCUUCAAUAAACAAGAUAGUGGAUAAAUUAUGAUAUAUUCACACACUAGAAUAUUCUGGCAAUAUGAAGGAACUGUAGCUAUACCUGAAAACAUGGAUGAAUUUUGCAAAUAUAAUAUGGAGGAAAAUCUCAAGUUCCAAAAAGACCAUGCAUAGUCUGAUACCAUUUUUAUAUGUCUCAAAAUACCUUUAGCAACACACAUUUACUCAUUACACCGUGAUAAAAAUAUAUGUUUGUUUAAAAAUCAGGAUAAUUAUAAAUACAAAUAUCAGAAUAGUAGGAAAGCAGGAAAAUGCUAGGAAUAAGAUGCUUAGAGAGAUCUCCAAGUAUUUGUAAUGAGCCAAUUCUUAAGUUGGAUGGUGGUUCACUGGAGCACCUUUAAAAUUGUGCUUUAGAGUUUACUUGUAUGUUACAUACCAUCUUUUGUAUAUAUCAAAUAAUUACAAAUUAAAAAGACAGAAA